rnacentral:lncRNA from 1 species
AAAGCCAGUCUCUUUAUGAACUCAUGUAUUUGUCUUUUGUUUUGUCUGUCUCUAAUAAAGGCCAAGUAGACACGUCCAAAUGGACUUUGAAAGACAAGACCCCUGCAGUCCAGGCGCUUCAUAAUAGUGCAGCCCACGCAAAGUGGGUGUUAUGAGGUCCCUGUGACCAAUGAGGAGCCUCAGGGUUUUCAGGUAGUAGAAUUGCAGAAGUAAUUUAAUUUCGCUUUUUUAGUUGAAAGUUGAAAUAAUAACAAUUCAUAAUAACAAUAUAUUUUUACGCCCACCUCCAGCACUUAAUGACCCUGGGGUCAACCCUUCGCCAAGCAAUUGGCAAGAGUUAUGGUGGAGGUGACAUGGCAGACACAGGGUCAGAGGAGGAGAUGGUAGGGACACCUUAUCAGGGCCAGUCUGUCAGUCCAGGGACAGGGACUCAGAAGGGAGGCUGUGAUCAAAUGUGUGGAACUCUUCUGCAUGACCUGUUGGUUAACCAACAAAUCCUGAAGGACCAGCAAAAGACCAUGAUACGCAUGAUCCAAGACCUCCACAGAAACACCCAGGGAGGUCAGAGGAUGUCCACCACCUCCAGGCAUACUGCCUAUUUUAACAGGAUCUGGAGGCCCUGGAGGGCGACCUGGCAAGCCAGCGGGACCUUCGUCAGGAAUUGGUUAUCACUCUUGGAUUGGCAGGGGGAGCUGAUACCAAAGAUACAGUGUGGCGCAUUCUGAAACAGGCCAUCAAAAAUGACCUCGCCAAGAAAAUCUCAUGGCGGGGGGGAUGAAUGGAAAGAUUUCAUUUGAAAAUCUACACCUGAAGGCAGUAGUGAUGGGUAAGCAUUUUAACUGUUCAUCACUGUUUACCACAAGCAUCCUGUUCUAGUCUCUGAUAGCUCCUGCACCUAUGCGGAUUCUAUCAGGCUGAAACCAUCAGUCUGAACUGAGCUCAAAGCACUUUUGAAAUAUUUCUGGGAGACAACAUACAGGGUUAGCCACAGCCUCAGAGCAUGCACCUAUCUCCCACCUGAUGAGAUCUAUUGGCAAUGCUUACAGUUGGAACUUUGCAUAGGGAAGAAGAUUGUAGCAUGCAUUACAGUAUUGCUGUUUAAAUCCAGUUAUAUCUGUUAAAAUCAUGAACACAAACAUUCUUUGUGUAUGUCUUCAAUUUCAGAUGCAGUGAGGCGCAAUCCAUCCUGCUCAACCGCAACGGAUGUGCAGAUUGCGGAUGCCAUUAAGCAAUGGUUUUACUGGGCUGGGG